GGUGGAGCGAUGCAGGAAAGGGACCGGCAGCUAUUGGCCCCUCAUCCACGAAAUCCCAGGAGUCAUAUUGGGUGAUGACUGGACCAAGUCAAUUACUUGAAAGAAAGAAGGGAUUCGGACUCUGAAUAUUCUACAUGGGAAGAGAUUAGGGUAUUUUUAAUGUCUGAGCCUCGGCUCUUUUUGAAGAUGGAGGGGGUUCGUAUUUUGAUUUUAUGAUUGGGAAGCUGACAGCUGAAGCUCUCCGCGAACUCGGAACUUUCGCACUCGACUCACAGAGAGCUCCACCGAGUCGCAGCCGUGAGAGCACUCGUCCCAGGAAAACCGACCUCCCCGCGAGCCAGCGCCCCCUUCCCCGGCGGCGCCACCCGCCCGAAGCACCGAGCCGCCGCGCCCGCCGCAGCAGACCCCCGAGGCCGCCCCCUCGAAGAAGAAGGAGGACGUCUACCUCGACGAGACCCUAAUUCCUCCUGGAUCGUUCCGGACCUGCUGCUGCCGCACCUGCAAUUAUCCGUAUUUCCGAAGUUCAUGGGCAAAGUCCGUAAACCUUUCCUUCACCAUCGCCUCGCCAGUAUCGAGUCUAGGAGGAGGAGGAGAGGAUGCUGAAGGGGGGGACCCGGGAUGUGAGAUUGCCCCUCAUUGCAGAGAAGUAGGGGAGAUGCCACUGGAGGCUCUGUUCUUAAGAUCUUGACUUUUAAUGGAAACUCUUUCGAUGAUUAGAGUUGGUUCUCAAAUUAUUCACGGGGGAAUAGAGAAAUUACUCCUGCAGCAUUCAGUGGAAGUGGAAGGAACUCGGUAUUAACUUUCUGUCUCAAUUUGACGAUACACAGUACUUAUCCCCACACAAGCAAUCGUCUUAUUUCUGAGCAUCCUGUGACGCACAUCGAGAUCUGUGGGGAAACAGAUUUAUUGCGCCUUAAACCUUCCAUCCAGCAUUUUACUCACGAUCCAAGAUUAAGGAAUGGUUUAGUCAGGUUUGAGUACAGACACAAAUGAAGGCAUUUCGCGUCCUGGAUAGCACUCAAUGAAAUCAUUGCACAUUGUUCGUUUUGAUGACUAUUCGUAUACUGCUUCAUGGAAUCAAAGACGCAUAGCCCUGGAGUCGCUGGUUGGAAAAGUUUAAAGGUGAGUAGAUUUGUUUCUGCUUUUUCUUUUGACUGGCUGCUUAGGAGGCAGGCCAAAGGAUUGGCUGUAAUUCGUUACUCUCAUUGGAAAUGGCCUGUUGCUAGGUCUGAAGAGUUGGUUCCCAUCCAAGCUGCAGUUUGUGGUAUGAUUUUUCCUAGUUCCUUGGCUGCAGACAAAGUUGUAUGCACAGCUUCUUCAAAUGGUUGCCUUAAUUCUUUUGUUGCUUGGGAUAUUGUCAAAAACAAGAAUGCUGAUGUUGACUGGCACAAACUUGGGUGGUUCUCCCCUAAUGUGUCAAGAUUUGGCUUUAUUUCUUGGAGUAACAUGAUAAACUUCCCACUUUUGAGAGGAUUAACAGUUAAUCUGUUGAGAGUGCUAGAUCUCCUCAUUUGUCCUCAUUUAUAUAGUUUGAUAAGAUUGUUAGUAAAAGUAAGCUCUUCGAUUAGCAGGUUAGUUAAGCAGCCAGUGUUUGUUGAUUGAUUCGAAUCUUCUUCUUUCUGCAUAUGCCAUGAGAAAGGAAUGGCGCUUUCACCGGACGAAGCUUGAGUGUGGCUUCGACCAAGUUUAACGAUGUGCAGAAUGGAUGACUCACGGAUGAUACUUGCGUGUUUGGCGCGGAGGUCUCGUGAUGAGGGAAAAGAGCACUGGCAGAGGAGAGAAUCUGUUGAUGGUAAAGGAAACGAUCAGUCAGAAGCACACGUGGGAGGUCAACAACUUCUUGAAAUUGGACAAGGAAUUCUCCGAGUCGAAAGUAUUCAUAGCCGGGAACGAGAAAUGGAAAAUAUAACUCUCUAUCCAGGCUGGAAAGGUAACCGGACUCGAACUUGCAUCUCUCAAGAAAACAAGCUACGAGUGAUUGAAUUCUUGUUUUGGACAUUGUAAACGCUCUCUGUGAUGCAGCUAAUCACUGGUUCAGCCUCUCUGAGCCAGGAGUCCAGUUGGGGGAGACUCAUGUUUCAUGCCAACUUCUAUGAUCCGAACACAGGCACUUUGGUGGAGGACACUUGUGUGGUCGAAGCAGAGGUCACUGUCCUCGGCGUAGUGGAUGCGGUUUGAAGUCGCUAUUCUGCUGACAAUCACGCUAUCACUCAGUAGUAUUGCUGUGAAUAUGUUCAUUUCAGCUCUGAUAUGAUACAGAUUAAUUUCCAGGUCCUGGUUCGCAAACCCGUCCAGUAAAACUGAACCCUGAUCUGAAAGAUAUGCAUCAAAGCAUGCAUUUUUCUUCUCUUCACUCCGUAAAAUCUUAACUACCGCCUGAUCUGCAAUCGCUUCAGACAGAUUAUUGUACUUUUCUUGUAAUUUUGUUUUAAGUAUCAUUGUAUAAAUCAAAUCUCUGUCCUGAUAAAUUAUGAACUUGCUAUUCGUCAAAUCAAUUCUUUUUCUUCCCCAGCA